GAGACAGGCAUCGAAAGCUGUUCACAGUAACCCAGCUGACCCUGCUCUUUGGUCUCUGUUGUCCCGAGUGGUUGCCCAGCAUGCUCAACGAAAUGCAAAAGGAGGUGCAGUAGCAGGAAUCGUGGCUCAUAUCCUGGACUCAAAUCAUGGAAAG